UACGUAGGGUCCGAGCGUUGUCCGGAAUUACUGGGCGUAAAGAGCUCGUAGGUGGUUUGUCGCGUUGUUCGUGAAAACUCACAGCUCAACUGUGGGCGUGCGGGCGAUACGGGCAUCACUGGAGUUCGGCAGGGGAGACUGGAAUUCCUGGUGUAGCGGUGAAAUGCGCAGAUAUCAGGAGGAACACCGGUGGCGAAGGCGGGUCUCUGGGGCAGUAAACUGACGCUGGAGGAGCGGAAAGCGUGGGGAGCGAACAGG
rnacentral:rRNA from 1 species